GUGAUAGUAAUGUACCCGCGACCCAACAUCUACACGUGCACAGUUCGUGUCUGGCUGAGAGAAAUUGGUUUCUCGCUGAAGACAUGGAGGAAGGAUUUCCGUGAUUUUCCGAGUGAGGUUAGCCAAAGCUGUGAACAUCACAGGUCCGGACCUUCUGAAGAGACUUGGAGUGAUCGUCACCAUUUUCAGCGUGUUCCUGGUGAUACGAACGCUUGUGAUCGUGGGGACAACAGCUGACGAUCUGAAAGCGUUUCUUUGCCGCACCGACUGGUGGGAUCAUUCCUUCACCACACAACUUCAACAGUGACUCCGGUGAAAGAUAAAUUGAACGCGCCUGAAGAACGGGAGGGACCAAGUCCAAUCUCACGCACAAAACUAGAUUUCUAGAAUAUUCAAACAACUUCUAGGUUACGGUAACCUAAUAUUGAUCCCGAUAGUAAGAAAUCUGCGCAUCAUUAUGCUUCACAAACCAGUUCAAGUUAUCUCCUGCAUCAUUAUUGAUGAAACUUUAUAUUGAUUUUCUUGCGAAUUUAGUUUUGGUUUGAACUUGACAA